AGUAGUUCAGUGGUAGAACAUCACCUUGCCAAGGUGGGGGUCGCGGGUUCGAACCCCGUCUUCCGCUCCA
rnacentral:tRNA from 1 species